rnacentral:rRNA from 1 species
CACGCCGUAAACGUUGGGCACUAGGUGUGGGACUCUAUCGACGGGUUCCGUGCCGUAGCUAACGCAUUAAGUGCCCCGCCUGGGGAGUACGGCCGCAAGGCUAAAACUCAAAGGAAUUGACGGGGGCCCGCACAAGCGGCGGAGCAUGUGGCUUAAUUCGAUGCAACGCGAAGAACCUUACCUGGGCUGAACUAUGCGGGAAAAGCAGCAGAGAUGCUGUGUCCUUCGGGGUCCGCGAUAGGUGG